rnacentral:rRNA from 1 species
AUACUAUUGUUGCUUUGGCGGGCCGUGGCCUCCACUGCGGGCUCUGCUCGUGUGUGCCCGCCAGAGAACCAAACUCUGAAUGUUAGUGAUGUCUGAGUACUAUCUAAUAGUUAAAACUUUCAACAACGGAUCUCUUGGUUCUGGCAUCGAUGAAGAACGCAGCGAAAUGCGAUAAGUAAUGUGAAUUGCAGAAUUCAGUGAAUCAUCGAAUCUUUGAACGCACAUUGCGCCCUGUGGUAUUCCGCAGGGCAUGCCUGUUCGAGCGUCAUUUAACCACUCACGCCUAGCGUGGUAUUGGGGCACGCGGUCUCCGCGGCCCUCAAAAUUAGUGGCGGCGCCGGUGGGCUCUAAGCGUAGUACAUACUCCCGCUAUAGAGUUCCCCCGGUGGCUCGCCAGAACCCCCAAUUUUUACAGGUUGACCUCGGAUCAGGUAGGGAUACCCGCUGAACUUAAGCAUAUCA